AUUGAACGCUGGCGGCAGGCUUAACACAUGCAAGUCGAGCGGAGCGAGGGUGCUUGCACCUUAGCUUAGCGGUGGACAGGUGAGUAAUGCUUAGGAAUCUGCCUAUUAGUGGGGGACAACAUUCCGAAAGGAAUGCUAAUACCGCAUACGCCCUACGGGGGAAAGCAGGGGAGCUUCGGACCUUGCGCUAAUAGAUGAGCCUAAGUCGGAUUAGCUAGUUGGUGGGGUAAAGGACUACCAAGGCGACGAUCUGUAGCGGGUCUGAGAGGAUGAUCCGCCACACUGGGACUGAGACACGGCCCAGACUCCUACGGGAGGCAGCAGUGGGGAAUAUUGGACAAUGGGCGGAAGCCUGAUCCAGCCAUGCCGCGUGUGUGAAGAAGGCCUUUUGGUUGUAAAGCACUUUAAGCGAGGAGGAGGCUACUCAGAUUAAUACUCUAGGAUAGUGGACGUUACUCGCAGAAUAAGCACCGGCUAACUCUGUGCCAGCCGCCGCCGUAA
rnacentral:rRNA from 1 species